GUGCCAGCAGCCGCGGUAAUACGGAGGGUGCAAGCGUUAAUCGGAAUUACUGGGCGUAAAGCGCGCGUAGGUGGCUUGAUAAGCCGGUUGUGAAAGCCCCGGGCUCAACCUGGGAACGGCAUCCGGAACUGUCAAGCUAGAGUGCAGGAGAGGAAGGUAGAAUUCCCGGUGUAGCGGUGAAAUGCGUAGAGAUCGGGAGGAAUACCAGUGGCGAAGGCGGCCUUCUGGACUGACACUGACACUGAGGUGCGAAAGCGUGGGUAGCAAACAGGAUUAGAUACCCUGGUAGUCC
rnacentral:rRNA from 1 species